rnacentral:rRNA from 1 species
GCCGCCGCGGUAAUACGUAGGUUGCAAGCGUUGUCCGGAUUUACUGGGUGUAAAGGGCGUGUAGGCGGAGAUGCAAGUUGGGAGUGAAAUCCCGGGGCUCAACCCCGGAACUGCUUUCAAAACUGCAUCCCUUGAGUAUCGGAGAGGCAAGCGGAAUUCCUAGUGUAGCGGUGAAAUGCGUAGAUAUUAGGAGGAACACCAGUGGCGAAGGCGGCUUGCUGGACGACAACUGACGCUGAGGCGCGAAAGCGUGGGGAGCAAACAGGAUUAGAUACCCC